UACGUAGGGCGCAAGCGUUGUCCGGAAUUAUUGGGCGUAAGAGCUCGUAGGCGGCUUGUCGCGUCGGAUGUGAAAGCCCGGGGCUUAACUCCGGGUCUGCAUUCGAUACGGGCAGGCUAGAGUUCGGUAGGGGAGAUCGGAAUUCCUGGUGUAGCGGUGAAAUGCGCAGAUAUCAGGAGGAACACCGGUGGCGAAGGCGGAUCUCUGGGUCGAUACUGACGCUGAGGAGCGAAAGCGUGGGAGCGAACAGG
rnacentral:rRNA from 1 species